CAGUCGCCGCGGUAAUACGUAGGUGGCAAGCGUUGUCCGGAAUUAUUGGGCGUAAAGGGCUCGCAGGCGGUUUCUUAAGUCUGAUGUGAAAGCCCCCGGCUCAACCGGGGAGGGUCAUUGGAAACUGGGAAACUUGAGUGCAGAAGAGGAGAGUGGAAUUCCACGUGUAGCGGUGAAAUGCGUAGAGAUGUGGAGGAACACCAGUGGCGAAGGCGACUCUCUGGUCUGUAACUGACGCUGAGGAGCGAAAGUGUGGGGAGCGAACAGGAUUAGAUACCCCGGUAGUCCCUGUCUCUUAUAC
rnacentral:rRNA from 1 species